rnacentral:tRNA from 1 species
AGCUUCAUAGCUCAAUGGUAGAGCAGCGGUCUUUUAAACCGAGCAUCAGAGUUCGAUUCUCUGUGGGGCUA